AUUGAACGCUGGCGGCAUGCCUUACACAUGCAAGUCGAACGGUAACGGGCCUUCGGGUGCCGACGAGUGGCGAACGGGUGAGUAAUGUAUCGGAACGUACCUUUCAGUGGGGGAUAACGUAGCGAAAGUUACGCUAAUACCGCAUAUUCUGUGUGCAGGAAAGCAGGGGAUCGCAAGACCUUGCGCUGAUUGAGCGGCCGAUAUCAGAUUAGCUAGUUGGUGAGGUAAAGGCUCACCAAGGCGACGAUCUGUAGCGGGUCUGAGAGGAUGAUCCGCCACACUGGAACUGAGACACGGUCCAGACUCCUACGGGAGGCAGCAGUGGGGAAUUUUGGACAAUGGGCGCAAGCCUGAUCCAGCCAUGCCGCGUGAGUGAAGAAGGCCUUCGGGUUGUAAAGCUCUUUCGGCCGGGAAGAAAUCGUAUGGGUUAAUACCCUGUGCGGAUGACGGUACCGGCAUAAGAAGCACCGGCUAACUACGUGCCAGCCGCCGCGGUAAUAC
rnacentral:rRNA from 1 species